UUUUAUUGAUUUUAAACACCAAAAAAUAAAACCAUUUGAAACAAAGUGCUUUUUCAGGCACUGAGCUCAGCCAGUCCAACAGAAAUCUUCUUUUAUACCACCACUAAGCGAGAAGGUAUGGGGAGGCAAUCCAGCUAGCACACACUUCCUCCUCCUUGCUGUAUUCCAAGACGUGAUGGGCACAGAAACAUUUACUUCCCACUGCAGAGCCACAGCCAAUUACAUAGAAAGGCUCACUACAAGUAAAAAUAUUUUCUACCAAUACCUUUAGGCUUUUGUGUUAAUGAUUAGUCGCUGGCAGCAGUGAUGGGUUGGCCAGUAAGUUGCAACAUAAGCUUAACAUUUUGUUAAAUAUUUUAACUCUGAAUGUGAGAUCCAAGAACAGUUUUCUCUCACACACAAAGUUACAGAACGACAUGCAUAAAUAACACCCUUGAACAAAGACACAUUUAGCCUCUUAUCAGAGAGGGUGAUAACUUGGAGUUACCUUCUCGGAGAAAAAAAUAUGUGAGCACAUACUCUUCAUCUUUCUGUUUACUGCUGUAUAUAUUUUUAUAUCUUUUACAUAUGUAUAUAUAUACACACACAUUCUGUACGACUGUACAUACAUUUCUAUAUCUACUGUGAUUGCGGUAUGCGAUUAAGUUAGGAUGAACUUUGAAAACACAGUAAUUCUUCUAAGCAUCUUCAUCUGCAGGACUCAUUUUCUUCCCAUUGUUGCUCCCUACUCUAUUACCUAUUUUUUGCCUCUUCAAUCCCUUCCCAAAGGCUGAAUUGAGGAAAUUAUGAUGAACACAGCUGAAGAGGCAUUAGCGGAAGAACUAGGUACCCCAUUAACUUACAAGUGUUAUACAAAAGUGACCCAGGUAGGACCACUGGGUUGAUGUAAUCCUGCAGAGUCAGGAAUAAUACAUAGCUCUGACACAGAUCCCUCCACUUCCUGCCUUCCAGAGUUUCAGUUCUUUGUGUGGUCAGUUAAGUACAUUCAGCUUCAAAAGUGUUUUUUAAAAAGGAGCAAAACAGAAAACACAAUAUAUAUCCACAGUAUAUAAAAAGACUGUAAUAAAAAUAUUGUAACAGCAUACAGCUGGGUCAGCACUGGAGUGUGGCUGAAGAGAGAAACUCCAUGCCAGGAACCAAGAGCUUGCUAUCACUGCAAUGCAUUCAACUGAUCCGGAUCCAGCAAUGCCUCUGUCCCUCCACUGGAAAGAUAACUAACUUCUGAAGGCAGCCAAAUCUUAGAACAGAAAGGCUGAUGCACAACACACUGGUUGAUACAACACUCACCUUCCUCAUGUGAAUACCAAUCAGCUGUUAGGAGCCAUGACCUUCCUGCUAUCCUAGCUCCAAAGGAUGCUGGUCUUAACUGUGAAUUUCUCAAACUUUCUUACUUAGAAAUAAACUUUCGACAUGUAGCUUUAUUUUAUCAACCUGUUUUGUGCAUCUGUGCCGAUCCACAUAACUUCUACUUACUGCUUCCUGAUUUCAAAAGAUUUUAAACCUAGCAGGAAAGCCAGAGUCUGUUCUUAUGCAUUGUAAGAUGUCAUAUUUCAUCCAUUUAACCUACCAUUGAGCCUAACUACUCCUCUUUGGGUGUCUUGAUCAGACACAAUGUCAGUCUUGAUGUGAAGGUAUCAGUCCAGUUUUAUGCUUGUGACUAAUCAUCCUCACCACUAAAAGUUAAUGCCUCCCAUCCACUCACCUUCCUAAUUUCAGGAUGUUGGGCUUUAUCUGCCAGAUAUUGGAGAUGAUUUGUACUUUCUCCACCACAUCAGAAACACUUCAGUGUUGAGAACUUUCUCUCUGCUACUUAUAUGCCAUAGUUAUGUCCCCCCCUAGUGUCCCUUCUGUGACGGGGCAUUACUCUGUCCUCCACAGAUAAACUUGACAAUCUUUAAAGCUGUGCAAUACUCAUAUUUCAUUACAGUCUACAAAGGAACCAGACAAAUAAUCCAGCCAAGGGGGGCUGUCCUCUAGCUGUACCACCCCUCAGUGGGAUAAAAAUCCUCUCACCAUUCAGCAGCUGACUUGGGAGCUGCUCAACACAGAGUUGCUGGACCUCUAAUGCCAGCAUCAAACAUAACUAUUACCGUUUGAGCAGCAUUUUACUUUUUCUGCUCCAAAUCCCUAACAAACCAAAACAUUCUGCCCUACAAUGCCAUUUCCCAGUCCCACCCAACCUCACCAAUCACACCUCUGCCCUACAGACCAUGAGAAAUAAUUCAUUAAGGAACUUACAGUUAAAAAGUUAGCAGAGGCUGGCAAGGGCUGGCUGUACACAGACAGAAUGCCAAAGAAG
rnacentral:lncRNA from 1 species